rnacentral:rRNA from 1 species
UUAUCAAAACAGCGGACUUCGGUCCUUGCUGCACCCUUGUCUUUUGCGUACCGUAUGUUUCCUCGGCGGGCUUGCCUGCCGGUUGGACAUUAUCAAACCUUUUUGUAGUUGCAAUCAGCGUCAGAAAAUAAACAAUAAUUACAACUUUCAACAACGGAUCUCUUGGUUCUGGCAUCGAUGAAUAACGCAGCGAAAUGCGAAAAGUAGUGUGAAUUGCAGAAUUCAGUGAAUCAUCGAAUCUUUGAACGCACAUUGCGCCCCUUGGUAUUCCAUGGGGCAUGCCUGUUCGAGCGUCAUUUUGUACCCUCAAGCACUGCUUGGUGUUGGGCGUUUGUCCUGCAAAGGACUCGCCUGAAAGCGAUUGGCGGCCAACGUACUGGUGGUAGAGCGCAGCACAAUUUGCGUCUCUCCCUUCUACGUUAGCGUCCAUGAAGCCUUUUUCAAACGUUUGACCUCGGAUCAGGUAGGGAUACCCGCUGAACUUAAGCAUAUCAAUAAGCGGAGGAAAAGAAACCAACAGGGAUUGCCCUA